rnacentral:rRNA from 1 species
AUUGACCUUCGGAUCAGGUAGGGAUACCCGCUGAACUUAAGCAUA